GCCGCUGUAGCUCAGCAUGGUAGAGCAAAUUCAAAGAUAGUUACUUUGGAGCUUAACUGGCUGUUAACCAGUGGGCCAUCAGUUCAAGUCUGAUCAGCGGCG
rnacentral:tRNA from 1 species